GGCACUUUAGCUCAGUGGUUAGAGCACUUCUCAUGAAGUAAAGAGGUCGCAGGUUCAAUUCCUGCAAGAGCCA